rnacentral:rRNA from 1 species
AGGACGAACGCUGGCGGCGUGCUUAACACAUGCAAGUCGAGCGAGGCCCUCUCUUCGGAGAGGUGCCCUAGCGGCGAACGGGUGAGUAACACGUGGGCAACCUGCCCCCUAGCACUGGGAUAAGCCCGGGAAACCGGGUCUAAUACCGGAUAUGACCUUCAAGGGCAUCCUCGAAGGUGUAAAGGAUUCUGGCUAGGGAUGGGCCCGCGGCCUAUCAGCUUGUUGGUGGGGUAACGCCCACCAAGGCAACGACGGGUA